CUUACAUCACAAUUACACUUUUCUCUCCAACAUACAAUCUGAGUUAUUACAAUUUAUUACACAUUUGAUACAUCUUGUUCUUUUAUUUCCCUCUACCCCUAGGCUAUGCCUACUCGGGGUACCACUAUCUCUGGUCUCUGGGUAGGGCGCUAUCUACGGAGCUACGCCCUUGCCUCGCGCCGCCGCGCCGCUCACGUGCAAACCUGUAAAACCCCAAAACAACGUGGGGUGAGAACCAACUCCAUGGUUCCCAGUGGGUACGGCCACCCAAGGGAAAAGCUCGACCAAUAGGUCCAAGGAGGCACUGCAACACGUUAGUCCAAUAACAUAUAACAGAUAUAUAUUCAAUAUUGAACUAAAUGUCAUGCCUCGCAAAAUGCAAUAUGCAAUACCUGUAACUUUGUGCAAGUAGAUUACUUGAUUCUACUUCAUAUUAUUAGCCAUUCUUUACUUGUAGCCGUUCUUUACUUUAUUAGCUAUUCUUUAUCAUUAGCUUUUCUCUAGUCUUUACUUAGUCACAUUACGCUCAUCGGCGAUUCUUUCCUAAGGUUACUCAUAUCUUAGCCAUCUAUGCCACUCGACUCGGUCUUCAGUCAAUCCUCUGCGGAUAGUCCGCACACUGGCUGCUCAACAGCCCAUCGCACUCGAUGACUCGGCCACCCGGCGGCGAAAUCGUCGCACACGCUCGGCUCUGGCUCAAGUCACCCUGCGGCAUGAUCCACAAACUGGCUCAACCAUCCGGCGGCGAAAUCGUCGCACACGCCACGACAAUGGUUCUUUAGCCCCGGGCGGUGAAAUCGUCGCACACACCCCGCACCACUCUUGGUGUUCCACAAGUCCUGGGAUUCCGGAAUCCACUUCCACGGGUCGAGGGUCCAUAGCCAACCCUAUGCCGUCGACCUAGAACAUCCUAGUGGUUGCUACCACUAUACUCAACAACCUAGGUUCAAUGCCACUCUAGGUUUACUAUUCAACCUAUGUUCACUAACACUGGGUUGUUCAACAUCACUAUGUCCGACCUAUGUUUAUUCACAUUAGGUUAGAUGCCACUCGAUCUAUUUGCUUCUAGGUCUACUCACGACCUAUGUUCUUUAACAAUAAGUUAGAUGCCACUCGAUCUAUUUGAUUCUAGGUCUACUCACGACCUAUGUUCUUUAACAAUAGUUAGAUGCCACUCGAUCUAGUUCACAUUCUACCUGUCCAUACCGAGUGUUCCAAUUAUACAAUCCUAUUUUCCAAUGUCAUUUCUCUAAUCAAGCUAGAGUUAUCAACCAAGUUCAUGUUUCAUAAAUCUAGCAUAAUAUCCUACAUUAGUAGGCACUUUAUCUAACAUUCAUUUCUACAUGAAUAUGUUAUCAACAUGCAUUUCAUUCUAUGCAUUAUAUUUACAUGCAUCCUUCUAGUUUACAUGCGUAUAUAUAUAAUCUUUUAUAUACAUCUAUUUCAGCAUUUACAUCAUAUCAUGCAUUACUAGCAUUACAUUAUUAUCAUGCAUUACUAGCAUUAUGUAACUUGCACACUUUAACUCUAACUAGCUCUUUAUGGUAGUUUCAUAAGUUCAAUCUCAAUGCUAACCAAUACUCUGAUUAUAGUGUCACAAAUCCACUAUUGUCUUGGUUCACAAUAAAUUCAUGCAUUUAUAGGUUUUUAUGUUCACAUACUACUAUUCAUUGGUUCUCAACAUUGAUAGAAAUUCAAAUAUUUCAUUAUCAUUGGUAUAGUGCCAAUACCCUAUAAUACAUGAAUACUAAUAAUAUGCUCAAUGAAACAUUAUAGACAUAAUACUAGCAUUAUGUAACUUGCUCACUAUGCAUUUCUACUUAGCAUUUACAUUAACACGCAUUAUUUAACGCUUAUAUGCAUCAACCCGAAUUCUUAAUUUGCUUAGACAUAAAGGCGACCUAGUCGCUUCGGUAAGCACAACCCACCUCGAUUCGCGUUCCGAUUGCUUGUCGACACUUGCAAUCGGCCUCCCGCGGCACCCGUAUCCGGCACGGCCCAAUAUUGCAACUGCGCCACAACCGUGCUUCCGCUUCGCAGCCCCGGAAAUUAUAGGUCUUCGGUUAUGUGCCAUGAUGCUCCAAAUCCAUUUCCACGAUUUUACGACGUCGCCUCGGCCCUCCAGGCGGAAACGAAGUCUAAACGUUCGUUUCUUUAAUAACUUCGCAACGGCUCGUCGGAUUGCCGAACCGUCUUCGCCAGCGUGUUUCGUUACCUACCAAUUAGGUUUACGAAGGGUCAAAUUAGAUCAAACCCUCAUAUUUUAAAAAUUAGCAUUUUGAACCCUAGGUUUACAACUAGAUAAAAAUCCACCAAAUUCCUUCAUGAAUCAAGCAUCAUUCAUCUAGAUAGCAUGCUAGGAUUCCUCUAAAUCCAUUUAUAAGGUAUUUAAACCAACCGUUGAGGAUCUACCAUUAAAGGGUAGCAAAAGCUUACCUCAAAAUGAGCUCCAAACCAUGGAGAAGAUGAAGAAGAUGAAGCCGAUUCACCUCCAAGCUUCAAUCUCCACCAAAGCCACCAAUUUUGGGAGAGAUUUAGAGAGAGAAAGGGAAGUUUUCUCUCUCCCCUUUACAUGCGUGUGUGUGUGUGUGUGUGCGUGUCGUGUGUGUGUCGUGUGUGUGUGUGUUGCAUUCGGCUGAGGAAGAAGAAAGGGACAAAUCCCCUUUUUACAACUUAGUCCCUCAACUAUGCACUAUUCACUACGGGCAGCUUGAAAUCUGAUAUCUUUCGCCGGAACUCCCUGAAUGUCCGUUUGAGCUCAAACUUGACAGUCAUAUUCGGUUUUACGUACUGAGCAAGAAUAUAUUUUAAGUUUUCAGUUUCGACCCCAUUUGGUCACCGAAAACUGUACCAAACUGUAAUCUUUAUCAGAUAGCUGUCGGAUUUUAUUUCUCACUCUACGGGUGUCAGAAAAAUAUAAAACUUUAAAUCUAGUCUCAUAAAAAUAUUUCUGACUUAUCCGCCAAUUUUCAUAAUUUUCUGACACUGUGCAUUUUCUGCUAAUUUAUCUGUCUCGUUUCCAACAGAAAAUUUUAGAUGUUCUGUUUUCAUUCCGAUUUCAGCACAAGUCACUUCUGACUUAUGUUUUUACUCCUCUACAUCCAAUAAAAAUAGUAUCUCACCCUAUUUUUAUUUACUUUUAUUUUAUACCAAAAUCUGGUAUGUUACACAAACACUAUCCGGGGUCCCUUGUAACGAGCCCGAAGCCUUCGGGACCAAAUAUGAAACAUGUCCCAUGGCUUACUUUAUCACGCAUUGAUCAAUUUGAUCAAAGUUGGUACAACACUCCAGGGAGCCGAUACUUUACAUAUUUGUACUUGCGUUGUACCUCUUGAACCUACUUAUUGUAUCUUUUAUAGCUAUACUUUGGUUGCUAGUGAGUACACUCACCCUCGUCGGCUUGCGGUGCCCACUAGGAAACCCUUUGCUGGUCUCUCACCCCCCCCCCCCCUUCAGGUGACUUGGGCUGCGAGAGUCGGGACGGUAUGUAAGAUGCAGUAGCUUGACAGUCCUAUCAGUCUCAACGGUAGCGUAGCGUGGUUGCCUUCCUUACCCUACUUUCUUAUCAGCACUUAGAUUAUUUAUGCGGUUCAGUUUAUGAUAGUUAUCCUAUUUUAUACUUGAAUAAAAAUAUUUCAAAACUUGUGGCUUCGUGUGAAAUAAAUGGUUUUCUACCCCUCGUGGUAGCUUGCUUUUAUAAGAUAAAAGAUUUUCGCAUGGAAAACAGUUUUUAAAAAGUUUUUCAGCUUUUUGUAAUUCUAGUGUUUCAAAAUAAGUUUCUGGAUGGAAAACGAUUUCAAAUGAUAAAUAUACUUGCAUGUGCUGUGAUAAGGACGGUUAGCCAUAUGCUGUGAAAUGAAUGGGCUUUUGAUAUCCGUUUGUAUACUGUGCAUUGUAAUUGUGAGUAGAUGUUGUGGGUGUAACUUGUUGUAAGGAAGUGAAUUCUCGAAAUUCGAGAGCUGGACUUCGUUCAGAAUCGACUGAUUAUCGAAUGGGUAUGCUUCGGAAAAGCCAAGGAAGCCUAAAACACGAAAAGUGCAUUAGAAUUGGAUCCCGAGGAGCAAACAGUCCAAAAUCUGCACUUGGCAGAUUCUGCUCUCGGAGACCGGUCCUUGGUGUGAGGGACAAGUUUCCGUAAGCAUGGUGCGCGGCAGAAAUCCUCUGCGCGCAAGUAUUGCUCUCGGGAACCGGUCCCUGGUGGGAGAGACCAGUCCCCGUAGGCAGUUUGGGCGGCAGAGAAGGUCUGCACGCAUGAGUUGCUCUCGGGGACCGGUCCCCGAGCACGAAAACUGCCCAGUCUGGGCUAUGUGAGAGAAGCAAAGUCGAGGAGCUAUUAUGUAAUUGUUGCAUUAGUUAAGGGGUAUAAAGGGGAUGAGCCCUCUCUUCUCUCUCAUUCUCACCCAAACACACCCACUCCUCUCUCUCUCUCGAAGCUCUCUCUCCCUCUCUUGUAGCAAAGAAGAAGGAGAAGGGGAGAGGAAGAAAAGGAAGGAGGAGAAAGAGAAGGAAGCUUGGAAGGAGAUCACCUACCUCUUCUUCAUCUUCUCCUUAGCGUAGAGCAAGCUUAAGAGGUAAGCUCUAACCCUAGCAAUGGUAGAAUCUAGGGUUUUGGAUUUCUAGCUUUAUUAAUGGGUCAAAUGGACCCCUAGCAUGUGUAAGGAAGUGAAUUCUCGAAAUCCGAGGAUUAUACUUCACCCAGAAUCGACUGACUGUCGAGAGAAUGCCCUUUGUGGGAGUUAAGAAUGUCCAAAACACAAAAAGUGCUUUGGAGUUGAGUCCGCCAGAGCAAAUGGUGCAAACUGCACUUUUGGGCUGAUGUUGCUCUCGGGGACCGGUCUCUGGAGGUGAGAGACCGGUUCCCUUGCCUGGGUGUUGCGGGGUUGCUUGAUGCAAUCGGUCCCUGGCAGGGAGAGACCGGUUCCCGAACGUUGCCCCAGCGAGAAAUGCCAAGAAUUGGCUAAGUCCUGAAAAUUGAGCUCUCGGGGACCGGUCUCUCAAGUGAGGACCGGUCUCCCGAGGACCGGUCUCUCGGGGAGAGACCGGUUCCCGAACGCGUGCGCCCGAGGGAAGCUCUCGAGGACCAGUCCCAAGUCGGGGAGACCGGUCCCUCCGCGCGAAAACUGCCCAGUAAGGGCUAUGCAGUGGAUAGAAAGUUGAGGGGUUUCUAUGAAAAAUGGCCUUUAUUAGAGUGGGCUGAGCCCUCUCUCUCCCUCACACCCUCUCAUUUUCUCUUUUUCUCACACUCUCUCUUGCUCCCUCUCUCUCUCUAGGAAAAAAAAGAACAAAAGAGAAGGGGAAGAAGAAAGAGAAGAAGAAAAAGGAGGAGAAGAAGAAGAAGAAGGAGGAGAACAAGAUAGAGAAGGCUUGGAGCAUCUCCCUCUCCUUCUCUCCUCUCUAUUGGUGUAGCUCAAGAGGUAAGCUACAAACCCUAGCUUGUAAAACUUAGGGUUUGGGGGUUUUAUGCCUUGGAAUGGGUCAAAUGGACCCUAAGCAAGCUUCUAAAUAGAUCAAUCCCAAGAAUCUAGGGGUUUAUUAGAUAGUUUGCUAUGGGUGCAAACCUAGGGCUCCAAAAUGGGAUUUUUGUGAAAGUAUGAGAUUGAUCUCAUUUGAAGCCUUGGAAACCCUAUUGUUAGGUCACAAAACGUGGGGGCGAAGUCGGUUUUAGCAUUCGGCGAGCCGGCGUGAAGUUCUCGGCAAAAUAGGGCCGGGAUAGUGCGGAAUUGGGCAAGGAAGGCUAAAGCCUUUUCGUAAAGUUUGCCGAGGAGCAUUUUCCAAGCCUCUACAUCGAUUAAAGGUGGGGGGUGCCAUCCCGAAGCUUUCGGACUCCUUUCUAUGUCUUAGAUUGCAUUUAAUCUCAUUUCUUCAUGAUGCAUUGUAGGAUUGCAUAGUAGCUCCCUUCCUUAUACUUUCUAAAUGAUAACCUAGUGUACUUGGAACGCUUGGUAACUUAGAUAGGUGAGGAUUGGGUCGGAACGUGGAUCCUAUGAUGCGAAAGACAGAGAUAUACCCGAUGGGGGUGUUGAUGACAUAGAAAGUAUUGUUAAGGUUAAAGAACAUACGAGUGGCAUCCAAACAUUGAAUGAUGACGAGUGGCAUUAAUGUAGUGUAAUGACACUAGAGGUCGAUGGACCUAGGGAUAGGUGGAUCCCUUAGAAAAUGCCUUGUGAACAAUGAAUUUAGACAACCUAAAUAGCGUUGCAUGAAUGUCGGGAACAAAUGAUUCCGCGAGAGAUAUUGACCCUAGUGAUAGGGCUUCCUCACUUGGAGAGGAUUCGAUUGGGUAUUGACUCUAGUCGUAGAGUAUCCUCACUUGGAGAGGACUUGAUUGAGUUGUUGACCCUAGAUGUAGGGCAUCCUCACUUGGAGAGGAUAGAUCUAGCUCACAGUCUGCGUUUGGGAUGGUAUAGCCAUCCAAUCCCCACAUGGAGGGGAUUGUCGUCGAGUACUCCGGAGUGUCGCGCGACUAGGACCACUUGGAGGUCCGGACCACAUGGAGGUCCGCAGACGGUCCCGGGCUUGGGUGCACUUGGAGCUCCCUCCCCACUUUGGGAUUGAAAGGUGAGUUAUGGGCGAGCCCUAGGGCCUCACCACAGAUUGGGUAAAUGGAAAGGUUAAAGGUUUAACAAUGUCAUUGAACAUAGCUAUUCGAACAUGGAUCGAAUUUGUUAGCAUGGUAGCAAACCUUUAUUAUAUGAUGCAUGCAUUCAUAUUCAUGAUUAUGGGCAUAGUAGCAUAGUUUUCCUACUAUCGCAUUUACAGCUUUCAGAUACAUAUCUAUCUAUCUAUCUAUCUGUUGUUGCUUGUGCCCACUUGGACCUAGUGGGGAGAUCGGCAGAGUCGGCGGCCGAGCCCACUGGGAACUAUGGAAGAUAGUUCUCACCCCACUCUAUUUCCAGUGGUAGGUACAGGGUUGCUGAGAGAGGACCGCGGCAAGGGCAUCGCGCCCGAUCAGUGAGACCGUGGUAGUGUAGUAGCUUUUCUUUUUGCAUUAGUCACCUAUGUAUUGAGAGAGAUCAUUGUAGGUGAGGAUUGGAGAGCUAUGUAUUUUGGAUGAAAAAUGUAAUCAUUUAAAGAUAAUGAUGUAAAUGAGAAUGACGGAACUAUUGUAAUAGUUAGCAAAGUACUCUCUUUAUUUCACUUGUUUAUCUUGUGGAUCGCUUGCUCUUUGUGUUGUUGGCACUGUUCGUGCCCUCGUGAAUGUGUAUGUUUAGAAUUUAAAUUCCUGGGUAAAUUCUUGUACACAUUCCUGUUGUUGAGCCUUGGGCGGACAGGGGAGGUGCUGUCCGUUCGGCGGCCCGUCGCCGCGGCCGAACCGUGCCAAAUUGGUAGUGGUUUCGGGGCGGGCAUGACAGCAUGCUUAAGAGAUCCUCUAGGCUAGAAUCUAGGGAUUUGUUGGAGUGGUUUUGCUAUAGUGCAAACCUAGGGCUCCAAAUUGGGGCUUUGCUUAUUAGAGGAGUUUGAUCUCAUUUGAUGGUAUCUAAACCUAAUUGAUAGGUGUCUAAACCCGUAGGCGAAGACGGAUUUACGAUUCGUCGAGCCGGUUAAAAGUAAUCGGCAAAACAAGACCGAUCGAGCUUCGUUUCCAUCUUGGAGGCGGAGAUUACGUCAAAUCGAGUGCCAAGUAGCAUUUCCGGAACCUCCACAUCGUCGAAAGGUGGGGGGUGUCAUCCCGAAGCAACCAGGUUCCUUUCUAUAUCUUAGCAUACCAUGAAUUGCAUCUCUUGCAUGUUGCAUCGUAGGAUUGCAUUGUAUUCCUUUCCUUAUGCCUACUAGUUGAUAUUAUACAUGAGUUGAUAUUAUGCAUGAGUUGAAUGCUUGAUAUAUAGGUGAGAUGAGGAUUGGGUUUUGACAGUGAAUCCUAUAGUGCCGAGGAAAGAGAUGACUCGAUGAUGGUUAGUGACAUAACGAGUGACAUGUGAACAUUGAAUGAGAAUAGAUAGAGUGGCAACUAAUGUAGUGUACAAUGACACUAGUGACAUGUGAACAUAGGGAUAGAUGGAUUCCCUCGUAAAUGACUUGUUGAACAAGAAUAUAGUGUAACUAAACACUUAUGCAUGUAAACUUGGAUAGGUGGAUUCUCGAGUGACUUGUAGCCCUAGUUGAUAGGGUAUCCUCGAGUUGAGAGGAUGGAUCAUGCUCACAGUCUGUUUAUACUUAUGGUGGUCGCUCCACCCGAGUCAUCGUGCACUCCGGAGUCUGGUGAGAGAGGGGCAAAGUCGAUGUCCCGCAGACGGCCUCGGGUUUGAGAGCGAUGUGAGUCUCCUUACCAUACGAGGUGCGAGGUGAGUCGUGGGCGAACCCAAAGGAUCGCCAAGGAUUGAUUGAGCAAGAGAACGACAUUGUUAAUUGAACAUUUGCUUAUUGGACAUAGAUAAUGGACAUAGUGGCAUGUUAGUAAACCAGUACUAUAUGAUGCAUGCAUACAUGACUUAUGAUUGGGCAUAGUAGCAUAGUUUUCCUAUUAUGUCAUUUACGGCUUUCAUAUCUAUCUAUCUAUCUAUCUAUCUGCUUUUAUCUACUCGGACAUAGUGGGAAGAUUGGCGAAGUCGGCGGCCAAACCCACUGGGAACUAUGGACAAUAGUUCUCACCCAACUUUGUUGCAGGGCUUAGUACGAGUACGCCGGGCGAGGACCGCGGCAAGGGCAUCGCGCUCGAGCAGUAGCUACAUUAUAGUAGCUUUCCUUUUGCAUUAGCACCACCUAUGUACUUGAGAGAUUUAUAUAGGUGAGGAUUUGGAGAGCUAUGGAUGUAUUUUGGUGAUGACCUAGUAAACAUGUACCUAUUUUAGAAAAGAUGUAAAUGUAACUUGAGGCAAAUGAAUGCAAUGUGAUGUAAUAGCUAGUAAUCUCUCUUUAUUUCACUUGUAUAUGCUUGUGGAUUCUUGCUCUUAGUUGUUGGCACUGGUUGUGCCCUUCGUUGAUUGUGUAUGUAUAGAAUUUCUAUUCCUGGGCAAAUUCUUAUACAUGCUAUGGUUGCUUAGCCUUGGGCGGACAGGGGAGGUAUUGUCCGUUCGACAUCUGUUCGACAUGCCCGAACCGAACUAAAUUGGUAGCGGUUCCGGGGCGUGACACUUGUAUUGUUGUGGCACGCUAUACAAAUAUAGGAAAAACUCUGUCCACCUAGACAAUGGGGUCCUGUAUUUAUGGCGAGUCUGUCUCAUCUCUAGGUUAUAAAAAAAAUGGUAUUUCUGCUAAUCUUAUUUUCAAAUUUGACCAUAAUUUCUUAUAAAAAGGGAAUCCGAAGACGUAACAAUCUGAACUUAUACUUAUUUCUAUAAUAGAUAGUUUUUGCUUAUAUCCGAACCGAACUAAGUGUAAAUGUAAAAUGUACACGCAGACAAGGAAUGUAUAGACAUUAUUUUCCUAAAUAGACAGUCCGUCCCAGGACUUUUUUAUAAAAUGACCCUCCAAAAAUUUGCAAUUUGGAAAAUGACCCUAUCAAAAUUUUAUUUAGAAAACCCUCCUUUCGCCACGUGGGCGCCAGGUCAGAAAUUUCUUAUGAAGAGGUGAAUCGUUCACCGUCUUCAAUAAGGCGGUGAACGAUUCACCGCCUUUGUAAUAUAUAUUAUAAAGGCUGUGAAUGGUUCACCGCCUUCACUAAGGCGGUGAACCAUUCACCGCCUUUAGGGCAAAACCCACCUCCAGCACAAAUCCGCCUUUCCAAAUGUUGAGGGCUGUGCCCUUGAGAAGACGGUGCAUGGUUCAACGCAUUCACUAAGGCGGUGAACCAUUCAUCGCCUUUAGCGCAAACCGAACGCAAAUCCGCGUUAUGAAGUGAUGAGGGCUGUGCCCUAGAGAAGAUGAUGAAUCGUUCAGCGUCUUCACUAAGGCGAUGAACCAUUCACCGCUUUAUGAAGACGGUUAACGAUUCACCAUCUUCAUUAGGUAUACCCCACCCCAACACCUCUUCCUCUCUCUCGUGCUUUCGCUCUCUCUUUCUCUCUCUCUCUUUUUCUCUGCCCCUUCCUUGCCAAGAGCCCUCGCCGGUCGCUGCCGCCCCUGCCAUUGUCGGCCUCGUUGGUCGUCGCCGCCCCUACCGCGGUCGCCACGGCCGGUCGCUGUCGCAGGUAGCUUCAUCAGCAACAAACAUUGCAGGUAGCUCCAUGGCAUUGUUAGAUUUUCAUUUAAGUUAGGUUUUUAUUUAAUUUUAUUACUCUUUAGGUAUUGUUGGCUACUUGCUCCAUGGCAUUGUUAUUAUCGUAGGUAUUGUAGGUAUUGUUGUCAUUAUUGACAUUGUUAGACUUGUAAAAAUUAGGUUUAAAUUAGGUUAAGCCAUUAGCCUAGUUUAAACUAAGUUUAAAGUUUUUGUAGGUAUUGUAGUUUAAGCUAGGUUUAAAAAUACGAGCUCUUUCUUGUCAAAACUGUUUGUUGGAAUUUGUGCGGGGGUAAGGAAGCCUUCAUGUGGUCCCUUAGCUUUUUUCUUUAUUAAUUUUUUGUAUUAUAUUCAUUAGAUAUUUUGAGAGAAGAUUUGAGAGUUUUUUUUUCUGUAUAGUUAAAAUGGCUAAUCGUUGGAUGUCUUUAAGUAUUCAUUACAGCGUUUAUCAUUGACUUACCAGCCUCGUGAGCAGACCGAGAGAGCUUUGGUAUAAAGUCCCAUAUAUUAACUAUUAUUUUAAUCUUAUAUUUAAUAUAGUUUGGGAAAAGUGAGUUUUUAUUUAUAAUGCAAGUGGACGCAUUAUGACAGACUCAUUACAGCAUUAGACAGCUAGUUCAUGAUCUGCCUACAAUCCAUACGAUGCUAGAGUCUUUUGUUAGAAAGGAUGUGUACGGUAAAAUCGCAUCAAAAAAAGAAAUUAAACAAAUUUGAUUUUAAAAAAACUCUUGAGAUCCGAUCUCAAGAACCACGCAAUUAGAAUCCUUCGUGUUCUUUAAGAUUAAAGAGGAAAGGCAAAAUCUAAUCUUUACCUUUGCGAGGAUAGAUCUUCACCGCAAUGUGAUGAUCGUGGAAUUAGGUUCUCUUGAAGCCACACAUGCGUCUGGUCUCUAUAGGUAUCCACACGAGGUUGGUGAUUUGAUUGAUGUCCUCACCGAAGUGCCAGCUUCCUUGCAAAGGACGUCCUUCUUACUAGAAGAUGGAAGAGAGGAAGAAAAAGAGAGAUGAUGACUAGGGUUUUCUAAGAACUCCCGUAUUUUAUAUAGAGGGACAUAAUCCUCAUUUUAAUGAUAUAAUAAUCAUUAAGGAUAAGUGCAAAUCUAGAUUUAAAUUUAUCCUUUCCUUAAUUGGUUUCCUAAUUUGAUUCGACUGAUUCGACUUGAACUUUAUCUUAAUUUAAUCAUAUCAAAUUAAUAAUACAAUAUUUGCACAUAAAUCCUCUCAUAAUUUACUAACUAUUAGUAAGUCCUCUCUUAUAACAUUUAUACUUUAAUACCACUAAUUUGUAACAAUUAUAAAUUAGUCCAAUUAUCAACAUAUUGACAAUUAGGUCCUCCGGCAAUUUAAAAAUCGUGAUCUAGCUAUCCGAUCAGUUACAACCUCUUAUGUGUGUGAACCCAUAGAUUCUAUUCUAUUUGGUAGUGAGAUAUAUUUUGAUCACUUUCAACAAUAUCACUGAAACUCCUUUCAGUGGAUCAAAAUAAUUCCAAUUCAGUCAAAUGAGAAUUAUCGAUCAUGUAGAUAAUUCUCAUGAGUCUCACAAUCCACCAGUGACGCCUAGCAGCAUAUAGUGGCAUUCCAGUAGAAUGGAAUACUAAACCUCUUGGUGCAGUUAUCGUAUGAUACAGUUCUCCUAUCAUGAGUCCCAACUAGAUAGAGGUCAUGGAAUAACUCGUCAAACCCCGUCGUCUGUCAUAUGUCAAAUUUAUUCGACUCGAGUUUCUAAUAUCGGAAACUCUUUUCGGGUAUUAACUCUUCCAUGACUAAGAUCUUCUAAACUCGAUCACAUAAAUCACAUAGGACUAACGCUCCUAUCUACCAAGGAAGAUAGAUUCUACAUAAGUACACACCCUAUUCCUAUAAUGAACCUACUGCAGCCAACAUGCACCGCAAGGACCCGAAUGACUAGGGAUCAAGUAUAUGUACAGUCAAACUACAGUAACCUCAUUGUGAAUAGCUGAGGCACCACAGGUCAAAGGACCAGUCACACUAUUUAACAUUAAGUAAGUCACUGACAAGUGAGUAGACAUCCAAGUGACUUCUCACGUUGGUCACGCUCGGUACCCUUGUUCUCUAACAACCACUUGCAUAUUCGCUUCAGUGUCCCCCCACUGUCGACUCGAGACUCGUCUACCCAGAAAAGGAAGCGACCUAUGCACCAAUCUUAUUAGAUCAAUCACCGUCCCUGUGUUGAUCUAUCGAUUGGAAGCAUUUAGGAAUUAACCACCAAUGAUACGUGUCUCAAAUUCUCAACUCUUAAGAAUAUAUAUCAUCAUCUUAUUAAUUCCUUGGACGAUUCAUGGACACAUACAAAACAUGAAUAGAAUAAGAACCCAAAUUUAUUCAUAAUAUUUUAAAGUCAAAUACAAAUUUAUGUCCUAAAAAAAAAUAUGUGUCGACCUGGUUAGCUUCUAGGGCAUACAUCUAACAUCUUUGAUGGGCAUCUGUGCCCAUAUUGAGUUGUUACUGGAGCAUGUUCCUAUCAUACCUGUUGUCAUGGAUAUAGGGGGUCGAGAUUUAGGUUAUGCCUCGAUAUCGGGUCAUCAAAUGCGAAUUCACCUUUUCCUAUUGGACCAUAUUUGUGACGCACUGGACCUUUGCAAAUUGCGAGGUUCGAGUGUUUGGAUGUAUUUCGAGCUUUUCCACACUUAGUGGAGGGUUGUAGAAUGUUUUCCGACCUAAAGAGUUCGAAAACUGGAAUUUUGGAUAAGUUCUGAGAGUUUUCACUCUCGGGGACCGGUCCCUGGAAGGAGAGACCGGUCCCCCAGUGAGCAGUGCUGCGGCAGCCUUGAGGCAACCGGUCCCUGGCGGGCGAGACCGGUCCCCGAGCGCGUCUACGCAGUGAGAGACCGAUCCCGCGCAGNUUGAGGCAGAUGUUGUACUUCUUAUUGUUUCUUUUAUUGUCUAGCUUUAUUUCUAUACUUUGGUGUAGAUGAUAGAACUUUACUCGCUCUGAUAUCAUUAGUUGCUAGUUAUUUUACUUCUCUAUUUGUUCUAUCUCUUGCUUUACUUCCGCUUUUAUUGUAGACGCCUUAUAUGUGUAGACAUAUGGCGGGUCUGGGCACGCUACCGGGAGGGCCUCCGCCGGUCCUCGGGCGUGACAAUAUUCGACAUCGAGCCAGCAGGUGUCACGAUCUCCAUCUCCUACUGACGCUGGAGUUAUGCCCGCCGCCCCUUCGACAUUUUCUUUUUUGACAUUGGACUCACUUCCGCCACCAGUCUCUCGAGUGUACUUUAAAUCUGUCUAUUCUCGUCAUCAUGGCUGUCACGCCCAGAGCCCGCCAAUUUGGUUGGUUCGAGUACGCCAACAGACGCCGGACAGACAGCACCUCCUCUGUUUGCCCAAGGCUUAACAAGACAUCAACAUGUAUAUAAAUUUUGCGCAAGCAGAAACAUACAUAUAUGUCACGCCCCGGGACCCGGCAUAGGCCCGCCCGGUGCGUGCCCAGACUGGCCAUAUGCCUGUACAUAUAAGGCGUCUACAACAAAGAGGUAUGAAAGAUAAGAGUAAGCAGUAACUAGAGAUAUCAGAGCAAGUAUACAACUAAUUCUACCAACAGAAAUGAAAGAAAGAGAACUACUCAAUUAAAGUAUAACAUAGUGUAAUAUAGCAACCGUCUCAAAAUACGCACAAAAGGGUGGUCUCUAUACACAGAUACAACUCUCAACCUCUCCAAAAUAAAACCAAUGAGAGGUAUACCACCUAUCAAAAAGUCCCUCGCCAAAGCAAGCUAGCUCGAGGCGACACCCUUGCCGCGAUCCCUUGCCUCUCCCGGAGUGGAAGGCUCUUAAAGGAAACAUAAAACAGAGGGCGUGAAAACUAUAAUUUAUAGUUCCCAAUGGGCAAUUACUGACCUGAGCAAAAUGCACCACUAGGCCCAAAAGCAUGAGUAGAUAAAAGAACUACUAGUAAGCUAUGAUAUGUAAAGCAUGUAAAGAAAUGCUAAUCUACAAUGUCACAAGCAUACAUGAUGUCAACAUGGUAUACAUCUAUUCUUAUCAUUGUCCAAUAUGCUAAUACAUGGCUUGUAUGCUCCAACAUGGCAAAUAAGUAUGCUAUAAUGCAAUCGGCAAUACUAUAAAGUAUACUAUAUGUCUAAAUGCCCAAUAAAUCCAACUACUAUGAACUGUCUAGUAGUGAUUAUUACUUAUAUGACUCCGUGUCGAUUUUCAUUUCUAAUUAAGGAUCUACACAAGGUAGUCCGGCUUGUGCUGCCUAAGUGCCCGUGGUAGCUCCAGCAUUCCCACUAAAGGAAUGAGUCUAUCCAUGUAGGCCCCGUAGGCUUCUCAAUACCACACGAGCGAUCACAAGUCGCGUAGGCUAACUCCGGAGUGCCAGCUUGUAGGGAGCGACCCUCACAAGCGUGUGCGAAUGUGCACAAAUGGCAAGCAAGCGUAAUCAUCACAAGUCGCGUAGGCUAACUUCGAAGUGCCGGCUUGAAUGAAGCGACCCUCACAAGCGUGUGCGAAUGAGCACAAAUGGCAAGCAAGCGUAGUCAUCAUCUGAAAAAUUCGAUCAUCAUGUCUCUAACAUGAUAAUAGCCACUAGCAACCUAACGGUCUAGUUCUAUGUCUCAAUGUGAAGUUCUAAUAUUCACUAAGUCUAAUGCCCCUUUAUGACAUUAGAACAUUGCUAUAACCCAGCAUAUUUCAAAUUCAAGGCCCCUUUAUGGCAUUAUCUUACUAAGUUCACACAUAGCUCAAGCUCAAUGUCACUUCAUGACAUUAGCUCACUAAAUCCAUACAUAAUUCAAGCCUAAUGUCCAUUUAUGACAUUAGCUUACUAAAUCCAUACAUAGUCCAAGCCUAAUGUCCCUUCAUAACAUUAGCUUACUAAAUCCAUACAUAGUCCAAGCCUAAUGUCCAUUUAUGAUAUUUACUUACUAAAUCAUACUUCACUCGAGUCUAAUGCCACUUUAUGACAUUAUGUUAGCUUCUAUGCUAGGCAUGAGUUCUAAGUCCAAGAGUGCAACGCACAUAUCAUUUUCACCAAAUGAAAUAUGAUUCCAGGCCACAAAUAAGAAUACUAUUCACAUGCUUAAACCCAACAUGGAACUCUCUACUACAUAGAGGUCUAAGAAUGCAAUAUACAUAACAGAUGUAUUUUAAGCAUUCUAAAAUUUUCAAAUAUUCUAUCUAGCAUGAAUAUGCAUGCAUUUUUAUUUUUUGAUAAAUAAAAACCAUCAUAGGGAUGAUUUAUUCCAUUUUGGUGAGGCCAAACCCACCGAGUCUCCUCGGGACCCUUCGUUUGCGCGAAAGGAGUUGUCCACAAUUCUCCUAGCACCCUAAAGGUAACAAAAGGAGAGUUACAUGAACGUUACGAGCAACACAUAGAUCAAUCAUUAACCGAAUCACAAAAAAGGGCAAAACUUACCUAAGAUGGUGAUAGUCUCUCUUGAUCUCCAAAAGGGAGCUAGAACUCUUCCAAUCCAACCUAGAGGAAGGUUCUAAUCCAAGAAAUCAAGCUCCAAAAGUCCUAAAUCCAAAAUGCCCAAAUAAACCCUAAGUUUUCAUUUCUAGGGUUUCAAUUAACAUAAAGCAUCAAAACUAAAAUCUAGAGGAAGAGACUUGCUACCAAACUCAUUAGAAGCAUCAAACAAGGUUCAAAGUCCACAAAGGGUGAUGAUCUUCCCUCCAACAAGCCCCAAGUCCAAGCCUUCAAGCCUUCAUCAAGGUAGAAGAAGCACCAAGGAGCAAAAAAGGAGAUCAAACUAUAAAUCCCAAGCAAAAGGGGAAGAAUAGACCAAAGAGGAGAAGAAAGAGGAAGCCCUACCUUGUUCUCUACCUUCCUCAGCUCAAGGGAAGCCCUAGGGGGCGUGGGGGCUGAUAUAGAAUUGCUACAAUGUAAUUACACCCCUGAAAAACUGCUAUCUUUGUAGUCUGGCAAAGUGUACUGGUACAAGAGAAAGUGUACCGGCACAACUCCCACGAAUGCGCAAACACGAGCCUCGGGUUGGCCAAUAACCACAUGUGUACCAGUACAACCAUCGAGUUGUCACCGGUACACUUUCUGUACCGGUACAACCAUCAAGGUGUACCGGUACACAGCCCUCCAAAACCAAAUCCGAGAGUAGACCAAAAAUCCAAUCUUUUGGAUUUUGGUGCUAAGUUUUAAACCUCAAUUCUCGGGAUGCGAGCCAUGGGUCGGAACGCUAUCUGCGAUCCUCCAGAAUACUUGGAAAAACUCGAAAUACAGAUCAAACACUCGAACCUCGCAAUUUGCGAAGAUCCAGUGUAUUACAAUAUACAUGGCUUUCACGAGGGCAAGCAAUAGCCAAAAGUGAAAGUUCUAUACUAAACAUCCAUACAAGUACUAUGAUUCAUUUUAAUCACAUACAUGCAUAUACACAUUUACAUUCUUUCAUUCUUAUCAUUUUAUACAUCAUAAGCUCUCAAAAAUACAUAGCAUUUCUUUCAUCCAAAACAUAAGCUUUUACAUGUAAGCACCAUUUAUACAUUGGCCCUUCAUAAACAAAGGGUACUAAUAACAGGUAUGAAGCUAUACUCGGGUAAUUACUGUCUAAGGCGCGAUACCUUUACCGUGAUCGUCGAUCGACUCACUUGGCCCCAGCUCUGUAGAUUAUAGUGGGGUGAGAACUACAACGAAGUUUCCAGUGGGGUCGGCCGCCGACCUCGCCGACUUUCCCACUAGGUCUAAAUCAGGCAUAAGUAGAAGAAUAAAGCAGAUAGAUAGGUAACCAUGCUAAACAAAUGCAGCUAUUAUGCCUGAACAAAUGUUAUCAAUAAGGAUGCUUGUCACGCCCCGUGCCCCGCCUAUUUUGUCGGGUUCGGGCACGUUAACAGACCGCCGAACGGACAGGGUUUUCCCUGUACCGCGGACAGAGUCUCCCCUGUACGUCCAAGGCGUUGCAAUCCAUACAAUGUACGAAGUUCCAACCAGGAACACAUUUCAUUAGAAGAUUGCAUAAGGAAGUAUCGAAAACAUAAAACAACUAAGUUAUUACAGCAUUCAACUUUAGAUGCCUUUUUACAACACAAUUACAUUUUUAAACUUUUACAUUCAACUUCCAAUAAUACAAUCUAGUUAUUACAUCACUUAAUACAAGUUUUGUACUUUGCCUUUAAACCCCUAAGCUAGACCACCAACUCGGGUAUAUCUACCUCUGGUCUCUGGGGUAGGGCGCUAUCUACGGAGCUACGCCCUUACCUUGCACCGCCGCGCCGCUCACGUGUGUACCUGUAACACCCCAAAACAACGUGGGGUGAGAACCAACUCCAUGGUUCCCAGUGGGUACGGCCACCCAAGGAAAAAGCUCGACCAAUAGGUCUAAUGAGGCCCUACAACAUAUUAGUCCAAUAAUGUACAACAAAUGUUUAUGCGAUAUUGAACUAAAUGUCAUGCCUCCCAAUAUGCAAAAUGAAACUAUGCAACCAACCAAGUAGAUUACUUUAAUUCUACUCUUUAACCUUAGUCAUUCUUUGUCCUUGACCAUUAUUUACUCAUAGCUAUUCUUUUCUCUUAGCUAUUCUUUAUUCUUUAUUCUUUAUUCAUAGAUACAACUUGCUCAUUGGCCAUUCUUUUCUAAGGUUAUUCUUAUCUUGGUCACACUAUGCCACUCGACUCGGUCUUGAGUCAAUCAACUGCGGAUAAUCCGCGCUCCGUCCGGCUCGAGGUGAAGGAACUCUCACAUGCACCUCAGCUAACUAGAGCCCACCGCGCUCCAUGACUUAGCCACCCGGUGGCGAAAUCGUCACACACGCCACGAACAAUGGUUCAAGUCAACCAGCGGUAUAAUCCACAACCCGGCUCAACCGGUAUAAACCACAAUUCGGCUCACCCAUCCGGCGGCGAAAUCGUCGCACACGCCACGUCGAUGGUAUAGCCCCGGACAGCGAAAUCGUUACACACGCCCAACACCACUCUCGGUGUUCCAUAAGCUCUUGGAUUCCGAAAUCCACUUUCACAUAACUCAAGGGUUGGUCUUAACCCUAUGGUAUCGACCUACUUAGGUACAUUAUCCUUUUCAUUCUAGGUCCACUUGACUCUAGGCUUAAUGCUUUUACCACUCAACCUAGGUUUACUUUAUCUCUAGGCUCAUUAUCUUUAUCUCACAAUCUAGGUUGACUUAACUCUAGGUUCAUUCUCAACCUAUAUUCUCUAACAUUAGGUUCACAAUCAUUCUUAUCCAACCUAUGUUUAUUAACACUAGGUUACAUGCCACACAUUCAACCUAUGUUUAUUAACACUAGGUUCAAUAUUACUCUUGUUCAACCUAUGUCUUUGACACUAGGUUCAAUGCCACUCGAUCUACGUAUAUAUAUAUGUCCACAUGCACAUGUCCUUUAACAUAGUUCUCUAUAUGUCAACUUGAACUCACUAAUAUUUCUAUAACAUGUUCAUCAUGUGUUCUUUGAGCAUUCUUACUCUAUAUCAAUAUGCACUUUAUCUAGCAUGCAUUCUCUUUAGCAGUCACUACAACACGCUUAUCAUACAUUUUCUUUAGCAUUCUUACAUUAGCAUUUCUAUGCAUGCAACAUGACUAAUAUAUGUCAUUUAAUUUAUGCUUUCCACUAGCAUUAUCUACACUAUGUUAUCGUGCACUAUUUGGUAGCUCACAUAGUAUUCGUUUUAUGCAUUUAUACAUUCUACCAUUAGCUACCAUAAUAUGCAUCAAUGAUAAAUACUCAUCUUAGACAUACAGGUGACCUAGUCACUUCGGUAAACACAACCCACCUCGAUUCGCACUCCGAUUGCUUGCAGUCACUUACAAUCGGCCUCCCGCGGCACCCGUGACCCGGUUCGGCCCGAAC
rnacentral:lncRNA from 1 species